GUUAGGAAUAUUGGACAAUGGGCGAAAGCCUGAUCCAGCCAUGCCGCGUGAACGAUGAAGGCCUUCGGGUUGUAAAGUUCUUUAGCCGAUGAUUAUAAUGACUGUAGUCGGAAAAUAAGCCCCGGCUAACUUCGUGCCAGCAGCCACGGUAAUACGAAGGGGGCGAGCGUUAUUCGGAAUCACUGGGCGUAAAGCGUGCGUAGGCGGUUUUGUAAGUUAGGAGUGAAAGCCCAGGGCUCAACCUUGGAAUUGCUCUUAAAACUGCAAGGCUCGAAUCUCGGAGAGGAUAGCGGAAUUUCCAGUGUAGCAGUGAAAUGCGUAGAUAUUGGAAGGAACACCAGUGGCGUAAGCGGCUAUCUGGACGAGUAUUGACGCUGAGGCACGAAAGCGUGGGGAUCAAACAGGAUUAGAAACCCUAGUAGUCC
rnacentral:rRNA from 1 species